UUUGUAUGACAUGAAUGAACCGUCCAACUUCUAUAAUGGCUAUAUUAACGGCUGCAAGGCAACUUCCCUUGACAAUCCUCCAUAUUUACCUAAUGUCAAUGGUAAUCUAUUAGCAAGAAAAACCGUUUGCAUGAACGCCAAACAGCAUUUGGGUAAUCAUUAUGAUCUUCACAACGUUUAUGGUACUAGUCAAGCAGUGGUUGUUAAUCAAACAACGUAUGCAGACUCUUGAUAAGGAAUUCAAAGUGAUGAGAAGGUCAAGGUCUCUCAAGACUUGAACUAACAAUUCAAAGAGCAAUGUCGAGUUGCUAUUGCUGACAGCAUUAAUAUAAGAUAUUGAAUGCAGGUGUGUGGGCGAGAGGUCGUCAAGGCUGAUCUCAUAACUUACCUGCACUUCCCUAACUCAGAAGAUAUUCAGAUGGCGUCGUUACGCGACUGGAUCGCGAGCUUGAGGCCGCUUUAUGCAUUGGCGCCGAUUUUCGAAAAAUAAAUGAAGAUCGCGCUGGGUUGCUGAAACGAGUCAACGGCUUUUCGAGUCAUUCUGCAGCGAAUCUUCGAACCGAGCACACGCCUUUUGGCUUUUACACCGGUCUAUGCCAUGGAAGUGUUAAAUGAGCGUGACUACAGUCUGCCAUUUCCGGAUAUUAACCUACUGGACGUGGAGCUCUCGGAGCUCAUCAACAUCGUGCUGCUGCAGAUGAUGAGCAUCACGGAUCGUUUGGCAUCAGAGCUGCCUGGGACAAUCAGCAUCAAGACGAGGGACUAGAGUUUUCAGCAGAUAUCUGCGAAAAUCAACCAGCGCUAUCACCACAGUUUCAAUCGUCAUAUCACAGUUGGUGAUGUCGAAAUCGUCUGGGAUUAUUGGACCGCAGAACACAGCCGCAUCCGCGAGUAUUUGCUACUUGGAUACAUCCGGAAAGCUGACUUGGAUUCGAUUCACUGGGCUAUUUACAAAGACCUCCGCAGUAUGCCGAUGUUAAUUUAAGAAUGUGAUUUAAAAAGAACCUACACGCCAUGAGAGUUUUGUGGCAGGAAAAUCAAAAUGCGCAGCAGAUCGCAGAGGCAGUGAAUUGCUCAUUAGCCACCGCUUACAGGUAUGUGCAACGAUUCCAACAAGAAAUGGAUGGUGCAGAAACAACUCUGGCAGGCAUAACAAGAUAUCCUAUGAGGACCUUCUAUUGGUAAUGGCCGCAAUGCAGGAGGAUCCAUUUCGGGCCCUGAAACAUUUGCCAGAAUUAUUGAACCUAGACGUUCAUGAAGAAACGCUGAGAACAGCUAUAAAAAAGGAGAAAUCUUACGUAUCGUAAAGCUGCAGUUAAAAUUCAUCUGAACCACCAGGAUGUCAUUGCUCGCCUGCAUUAUGCCAAUACUUAUUUGAAUAGGACUGAUAUUUGAGGAAUGUUCUUCCUAAUAAAACAUCUGGACGAAGAACUAAGUCAUUCUGGGCCUGGGUGUCUGAAGAUGGGCCAGGAACUUUGGUUCAGAUCAAUCGCAAGCUGAAUGCUGAAAGAUACGUGCAUCUUCUAGAAAAUUUUAUGUUACCCCAAAUCAGAGGUAGAUAUCCAGAGCAAGAAUAUUUCUACAUCAUUGAGGAUAACUCCCCAGUACAUACUGCAAGACUGGUAUGCAAACCAUCCUGAAAUAAUAAGACUGCCACAUCCACCACGUUCACCGGACCUCAACUACAUUGAGAAUGUUUUUGCAAAGAUGGUUGCAGAUUGGAGACCUAAUUUUGCUCCAACAGAGGCAGAAUUACUUCGAAGAGUCAGAAAUAGUUGGGAAAGAUUGCAGUUGAAUUUGCACUACUUCAGAGGCCUGACAAAUUCAAUGCCUCGUAGGCUUCAGGCUGUUAUUGACGCCAAUGGAGGGCACAUCAAUU
rnacentral:lncRNA from 1 species